rnacentral:rRNA from 1 species
ACAAAGGGAUGCCUCAGUAACGGCGAGUGAAGCGGCAAAAGCUCAAAUUUGAAACCCUCGGGAUUGUAAUUUGAAGAUUUGGCAUUGGAGAAAGCUAACCCAAGUUGCUUGGAAUAGUACGUCAUAGAGGGUGACAACCCCGUCUGGCUAACCGUUCUCCAUGUAUUGCCUUAUCAAAGAGUCGAGUUGUUUGGGAAUGCAGCUCAAAGUGGGUGGUAAACUCCAUCUAAAGCUAAAUACUGGUGAGAGACCGAUAGCGAACAAGUACUGUGAAGGAAAGGUGAAAAGAACUUUGAAAAGAGAGUGAAAUAGUAUGUGAAAUUGUUGAUAGGGAAGGAAAUGAGUGGAGAGUGGCCGAGGUUUCAGCCGCCCCUCGUGGGCGGUGUACUGCCGACGCCGAGUCAUCGAUAGCGAGACGAGGGUUACAAAUGGGAGCGCCUUUCGGGCGUUCUCCCCUAACCCUCCACACUGCCACCGACGACAUAAUCCACCCAUUUCACCCGUCUGAAAACCCGGGACAAAAAAA